GAGGCCUCGGGCUCCUCAGGGCGCGCUCUGCACCGCGGGCUCCGGCUUGCACAUGUAACCUCGUAGGCCCGGACAGCCAGACACCGGGGUGUGUACCCGGCAGAGCGCACGGUGAGCGCUCAGAAAUAUGCAUCCUUCACCGUGCCGCUGACCAGCUCCCUUCUGGUAUCAGCCUCCUAGCCCGCCAGUGACACAGGGACCCCCAGGCGCAGGUUCCACAGCAGGGCCUCGUUCCCCGCCUCUGGCGGGAGCCCCCGCUCCACCUGGCCGAGGGAACCUCCUUUGCUUGGUGGGUGUGGGUGCUUGAACCCUCCCCCCUUUUGCACAGGAAUUAGGCAGACGUCUUCUCCCAGGUAACAAGCCUCGGACUUCAGUUCCACGUAAACCCGGGCGCCGUGGCCAGCCUAGCUUUGUCCGACCCUGGCUUCAGCAGCAGAGGAAGCAAAUGAGGCCCUCUUCUUAUCCUGGGGACCCAGAUCAAGUCCAGGCAGCCCGAUCACCCCAGGCAGUCGCCGUCUGGAUGAGAAGGUGCAGCUCUCAAGCUUCUGAAGCUGUCAAGAAACAUCUUAAAGAAGGACCAACUUCUUCAACAGGCACAGACAAGACCUUUGGAUUUAGAGAGUGUUUGCCCCAAAUGGUUGUCUCAGACCUCCCGGGAGUCCUCUGACUCCUUUCAGAGGAGACCUCUGUGGCCCCUGAUGAGUCGGGGGCUGCCACAUUUCCUCAUGCAGGCCACCAGCCUGGGGCUCCUUCAUCCUUAGUCACACUCCUCACAUGUGCUCUUCGGUGCUUUUCUUAUUAUUUUUAUUGCACACGUUGGUGCAAAUUGUGAUCUUAAUAAAAUAUAUACAAUCCAAGUUGGGAAAGGGAACUGCCAUGUAGACCAUAAAGGGAAUUAAUUAUGCCAGGGAAUUAAGGUACAGACCAUUUUCUUCUGAAUAUUAAAAGAACGUAUUUUCAAAACUUCAGUCAGUCCUUUCUUCCGUGGUAGCUGAAAGUCAAUAGUGUUGUUAAGUUAGCUGCACUUUCGUAUUUAUUGAGAAACCGACCAAAAGGGCCAGCAUCUGUUGGGUUGCCCUGCUGGGUCGUUCUCCAGCUGGGCCUCCUGAGCUAACAUUUGGCAUCUGCAGGGGGCAUCUGGGCAGGUGUCCUAGACAGAGGCUGGUCGGGAACUGGCCAGAAGCCAGCCCUGCCGCGUGUUUACCCCUAGAGUUGCCUGUCACACACAGGGAUGUGCUUUGGAGACCUUUUAGCAGGACAGGCCUGGGCUUCGUCCUGACAAGUUUAUCACUGGUUUUUAAGCCUGAGCCAACAGAGGUGUUCAUUAUGGGGUUCAGUACAUUGUUUCUGAAGGGCGGUAAUUCUAAAUUAGAUAAAAGAAAACUGUUUUUCUAAUGCAUCGAUUAUUUUUAAAAAUAAAGCAAAAGUAUUUCACAUGGCAAAUGAUUCCUAAUCAAUGAUUAUGAGUGAUCUUACAUCUUUAGCUUUGUUGUUUGGAACUUUUGUCUUUGGUGGCUGGCCCCAUUCCAGAUGUGAGGGUGAUAUUUGUGCAGAGAGAAAGAGGAUGUGUCUGGUAUCUGACAGUUCUCACAGAGUUAACUGUAAAUUAAAUGAGGAUAUCUACCUGCAGAGGGGUGGGGCUUUUUUUUGAGACAGGGUCUAAAUCUGUCACUCAGGCUGGAGUGCAGUGAUAAAAUCACAGCUCACUGCAGCCUCCAACUCCUAGGCUCAAGUUUGCCUCAGCCUCCCGAGUAGCUUAGAGUACGGGCUGGCACCACCAUGCUUGGCUAAUUUUUAAAUUUUAUUUUGUAGAGAUGGGAUCUCACUUUGCUGCCCAGGAUGGUCUUGAACUCCUAGUCUCAAGCAAUCUUCCCUCUUCGGCCUCCCAAAGUGCUAGGAUUACAGGUGUAAGCCACCAUGCCUGGCCUGUACUUGAAUCAUUAAGUAAAAUUGUUUUUGUCAGACUCUGAAUAAUACACACCCUCAUUUUCCCAUUGGAAAAAUCUCUCUCAAAACAUGCCAUUUAGGUGAGAUAUUCAAUCAGAGCCCCCCUCUAUCCUAGGGCACGCAAGCAAAGUAAACCAAUCAAUCCCUCCCCUUGAAUUUAAAUUCUUGCCGAAUGGGGCAAGUUGGGAUUAACCGAGAAUAGAGCCAACCGUGAGCCCGUCACGAACCUCUUGUCAUCUCAAUCAACCUUGUUAUCUUAAUCACGUGAGUUUACCUGGAAAUAUCCUGAAGUCAGCUGGCUAAACUGUUCUUAAUUCUGUUAAGUAUUAAAUAUGUUUCCAACAAAGCCAGGCUUUCUCUAAUUAUCCAGCCAGUGAUCAAAGUGGUGUAAUAAUAGAGGAAACUUUAUUUUACAGAAGAGUGCAUAACAGCACUAUUACUUACCUUGCAUUGAGGCAGGAAGGACGCUUCAAGCAUGAAAAGAAGCAUGAAGUUUCUCAUCUUAGUGUUGAAAGGGUCUUAUGUAGUUGAAGGUUUUGUCUUCCUACAGCCAGCAUUGAUUUAGGAUUCACAUUCAACUUACCUUCCAAUGCCUGCAGAAUGUGGUGUUAGGAUUUUUCCUUUUGCUUCUUUGUAGGUGAACUAUUUCUUCCAAGUGGAAUGCACGAUCUUAGGCCAUGACUUUGUUUCUGUGCUCUCCGUUCUAUUUGAAAUGCCCGGAAGAGUGCAUGGGAGACACUCAAUGGAUAUAACUGAACAAAUGUGAGAAAAAAAAAAUGUUCUCUACUGUCUUUUCUAUUUGCAUUUGAAAAGCAAUUACAACAUUCUUGAUCAUUCUUAAUGUAGUGACCCAAAUUCUGCCCUUCGUGCCCCCAACAUUGUACUGAGAGCAACAAGAAAUAACCAGAUGAGUAAAGACCGUGUCAGAAGUUGGGGUCAGGGGAUGAGGAACCUGCCAGAGCUUUCCAGAUUUAUAAUCUCUUGGCUCCCAUGAGCUAAGAGAUGCAAUUUCCUCUCAGAUUUUCUAUAUAGCUCCUAAUUUUUUCAAGUAGGUCAGAAUUUUACCCUAGCAGAGAGUGGGGGAGAACUCUCGAUGUGUUCUCUACUCAUGAAAAUAAAACUGUGAGUUUCAGUACAAACACCUCUAUUAUACUGACGUGUAGGAGCCAUCUCUUUUCCAAUGCCAUAAUUUUAAUGCCAUGCAAAAAGCACAUUUUAAGAUGACGUAACUGGAAUGAAAAAAAAACAAAAACAUGAAAUAAUAAAACCAUAAAAUAUAGCAGAACAAGAUCAUGGGAAAGAAGCAAAAAUACACGGUCCUAUUGAGCUCCAGAUUCAUGUCGGAGCUCAGAGAAGCCCAGCAGAAGCGGUUCCUGGGAACGGAGAGUCAAGUGUGGCACAUGUGAGAGCAGCUGUCACUGCCAUGUGGCUCCCAAGACCAGGCUGGGCUAAGCCUUUACAGCUCUCUCUGGAGCCUUCUGCUCAGGCAGCCCCCUCUGGAGGGAAGCCUGGAGAGGAGAAGGAGGACGUGACUUGCUAAGUCCAGGAGGACAACCACAGUCCCUGCUGGCCAGUCCCUGCCCCUGUGAUCACCAGUGUUCCCAACGGGGCUGAGAGCCAUCAGUGGAAGGGUGGGCUCUGGAGCUCACACCAUCCUGGGCGCUGGAGCAAUGGCAGAAUUGUGGGGAUGAAAGAGGCAAUGUGAGAAGGACAGUGAUGCCUCCUCUCAAAUUAAGCCUCGAGAUCAUAUUCGUGAAGAACUCUAAGCUAAGGACAAAAAAUCAACGGGUUUAUGCUGGAGUCAUUCUAGAUGCAAUUAAAAUAGCAGAAUAAUAAAUACUCAAAAAGGCAAAUAAAUAGCAUCCACAUAAUUGAACAAGAAAUUUUGAGACAACUGGUAUGAAUAAACCAAGAACAAGUAUAUGUGUAAAAAAUUAGAAAUUUUAAAAAUAAAAAUUGUAGUCAUUGGAUAAAGCAAUAAAACAAAUGAUAAAUUAGAUGUAGCCCUAAAUUAGAUAUAUUUCCAUGGAUCUAUUCCAUAUUCCAGUGUGGCAACCAAAAACCAGAUGUGGUUAUUCGAAUUCGUAUUAAGUCUAAAUAAAUUAAAUUAAAAGUUUAUUUUCUCUGUUGCACUAGGCAGAUUUCAAAUGCAUCAUAACUCUGUGGCUUGUAACUGGGGUGCUGCAUAGGGUGUGAUAGAAGACUUCACUCAUUGCAGACAGGCUACUGAAUGGCGCUGUUCUGGAUGAUUCCCAAGUGAAUGAACAAAACACACACACACACAAUUUUCAUCCUAUAGUAGCUAUUUUAGAGAGCAGAGAAUGUGUAAGGUUGCUUAAUUCAUUUUAUUUUAUUCUCUGUGUAGGAAACUGACAAGGCCCAUGUAAAGAAAAAGAAAUAGUAGGCUUAUAUAUUUUUUUGAAGUGCAAAGAACCUAAAGAAAAUGAUGCAAAUAUAAUUUAGCAGCAUAAUUACAUAUUACAGGAAUUCAUGCUUUCAACCAACUUUAGAAAAACUAAGAAUGACAUUUCUUAUAUAAAUGAAUUAAAGAGAAAACUAUAUAUCCAUCUUUAUAGUUGUAGAAAAAUACAAUUUUUUAAAAUAAUUUUUGUAUAAGCUUUACCACCUAACACCAACAAUAAACACAUAGAAGAUAUAACUAUACAUGAUAUAAUUAAAUAUAUGGUGUGUGGAUAUGUAUGUAGCUUUAACAUUUAUAUGUUAUCUAAGCUAUAUAUAAAUAUAUACUCAAUUAAACAUUCAAGAAAUAUAGAUUAACAGAUAUCUGUUAGAUAUAGAUAUCAAAAAUCUCAAGAUGUUACAGAAAAAUCUAUAAACAUCAUGAAAAGGUAUAAAACUCUGAUUAAAUACCAAUAUAUGUUAAUAGAUGAGAAUCCUUAAAGUACACAAAUUUUAAAUGGCCCAAUAUUCCGCAUUUUGAUAUCUGCUUUACAGAGAAACACACCCUCAGAUAAAUUCUUGAUGCAUGCAUAGAAUGUACAUAAUAGCAUUCAUUGUAAUAGCGCAAAGUGGAGAUUUUGUUCAAAAGAUACAAACUUUAGUUAGACAGGAGGAAAAUGUUCAGGAGAGGCACUGGGCAACACGAAACAUGCAGUUAAUAGCAAUGUAUUGAAUACUUGAACAUUGCUAAGAGUAGAUUUUAAAUGUUUUCACCACAACAAAUGAUAAGUAUGUGAGGUAAUCGAUAAGUUAAUUAACUAGAUUAAAUCAUUCCACAAUAUAUACAUUUAUUAAAAC
ensembl:lincRNA